UACGUAGGUGACAAGCGUUGUCCGGAUUUACUGGGCGUAAAGAGCGCGCAGGCGGUCGAUCAAGUCGAGUGUGAAAGCCCCCGGCUCAACUGGGGAGGGUCAUUCGAUACUGAUCGACUCGAAGGCAGGAGAGGGUAGUGGAAUUCCCGGUGUAGUGGUGGAAUGCGUAGAUAUCGGGAGGAACACCAGUGGCGAAGGCGGUUGCCUGGAGCUUUGCUGACGCUGAGGCGCGAAAGCGUGGGGAGCGAUCCGG
rnacentral:rRNA from 1 species